rnacentral:misc_RNA from 1 species
GUACCCUCAAGCUUUGCUUGGUGUUGGGUGUUUGUCCGCGUUUUACGCAGACUCGCCUUAAAUCAAUUGGCAGCCGGCAUGUUAGCCUGGAGCGCAGCACAUUUUGCGCACCUUGCUGGCGGUGUUGGCCCCCAUCAAGUCCAUAUAUUUGC